ACCGGGAUUGCCUCAGUAACGGCGAGUGAAGCGGCAAGAGCUCAAAUUUGAAAGCUGGCUCCUUCGGAGUCCGCAUUGUAAUUUGCAGAGGAUGCUUUGGGUGCGGCCCCCGUCUAAGUGCCCUGGAACGGGCCGUCAGAGAGGGUGAGAAUCCCGUCUUGGGCGGGGUGUCCGUGCCCGUGUAAAGCUCCUUCGACGAGUCGAGUUGUUUGGGAAUGCAGCUCUAAAUGGGUGGUAAAUUUCAUCUAAAGCUAAAUACUGGCCGGAGACCGAUAGCGCACAAGUAGAGUGAUCGAAAGAUGAAAAGCACUUUGAAAAGAGAGUUAAACAGCACGUGAAAUUGUUGAAAGGGAAGCGCUUGCAACCAGACUCGCCCGCGGGGUUCAGCCGGCAUUCGUGCCGGUGUACUUCCCCGUGGGCGGGCCAGCGUCGGUUUGGGCGGCCGGUCAAAGGCCCCUGGAAUGUAGUGCCCUCCGGGGCACCUUAUAGCCAGGGGUGCAAUGCGGCCAGCCUAGACCGAGGAACGCGCUUCGGCUCGGACGCUGGCAUAAUGGUUGUAAACGACCCGUCUU
rnacentral:rRNA from 1 species